rnacentral:rRNA from 1 species
GAUGAACGCUGGCGGCGUGCUUAACACAUGCAAGUCGAACGAAGCACCUUAUUCUGAUUUCUUCGGAAUGAAAAAUUUGGUGACUGAGUGGCGGACGGGUGAGUAACGCGUGGGUAACCUGCCUCGUACAGGGGGAUAACAGUUAGAAAUGACUGCUAAUACCGCAUAAGACCACAGCACCGCAUGGUGCAGGGGUAAAAACUCCGGUGGUAUGAGAUGGACCCGCGUCUGAUUAGGUAGUUGGUGGGGUAACGGCCUACCAAGCCGACGAUCAGUAGCCGACCUGAGAGGGUGACCGGCCACUUUGGGACUGAGACACGGCCCAAACUCCUACGGGAGGCAGCAGUGGGGAAUAUUGCACAAUGGGGGAAACCCUGAUGCAGCGACGCCGCGUGAGCGAUGAAGUAUUUCGGUAUGUAAAGCUCUAUCAGCAGGGAAGAAAAUGACGGUACCUGACUAAGAAGCACCGGCUACAUACGUGCCAGCCGCCGCAGUAA